rnacentral:rRNA from 1 species
CCAGACUCCUACGGGAGGCAGCAGUGGGGAAUAUUGCACAAUGGGGGAAACCCUGAUGCAGCGACGCCGCGUGAGUGAGGAAGUAUUUCGGUAUGUAAAGCUCUAUCAGCAGGGAAGAAAAUGACGGUACCUGACUAAGAAGCCCCGGCUAACUACGUGCCAGCAGCCGCGGUAAUACGUAGGGGGCAAGCGUUAUCCGGAUUUACUGGGUGUAAAGGGGGCGCAGACGGCAGCGCAAGCCAGGAGUGAAAGCCCGGGGCCCAACCCCGGGACUGCUCUUGGAACUGCGCGGCUGGAGUGCAGGAGGGGCAGGCGGAAUUCCUAGUGUAGCGGUGAAAUGCGUAGAUAUUAGGAGGAACACCAGUGGCGAAGGCGGCUUGCUGGACAGAGACUGACGUUGAGGCUCGAAAGCGUGGGGAGCAAACAGGAUUAGAUACCCUGGUA